rnacentral:misc_RNA from 1 species
CCGAGUUUACAACUCCCAAACCCCUGUGAACAUACCUACUUGUUGCCUCGGCGGAUCAGCCCGCGCCCGUAAAACGGGACGGCCCGCCAGAGGACCCCUAAACUCUGUUUCUAUAGUGGAACUUCUGAGUAAAACCAUAAAAUAAAUCA